rnacentral:rRNA from 1 species
CCCAGACUCCUACGGGAGGCAGCAGUGGGGGAUAUUGCACAAUGGGGGGAACCCUGAUGCAGCGACGCCGCGUGGGUGAAGGAGCGUUUCGGCGCGUAAAGCCCUAUCGGCAGGGAAGAAGGAGGACGGUACCUGACUAAGAAGCCCCGGCUAACUACGUGCCAGCAGCCGCGGUAAUACGUAGGGGGCAAGCGUUAUCCGGAUUUACUGGGUGUAAAGGGGGCGCAGACGGCAGCGCAAGCCAGGAGUGAAAGCCCGGGGCCCAACCCCGGGACUGCUCUUGGAACUGCGCGGCUGGAGUGCAGGAGGGGCAGGCGGAAUUCCUGGUGUAGCGGUGAAAUGCGUAGAUAUCAGGAGGAGCACCGGUGGCGAAGGCGGCCUGCUGGACUGCGACUGACGUUGAGGCCCGAAAGCGUGGGGAGCAAACAGGAUUAGAUACCCCUGUA